AAAAUGUUGCUGCCUGUGUUCUCCUCUAGGGUUUUGAUGGGUUCCUAUCUCAUAUUUUGGUCUCAUCUAUUAUUAAUUUAUUUUUUGGUAUGGUGUAGGAAAGUAGUCCAGUUUCAUUCUUAUGCUUGUGGCUGUCCAGUUUUAAGAAUACUAUUUGUUGAAAAGACAGUCUUUAUUCCAUUGGAUAUUCUUAACUGCUUUGUUGAUUAGUUUACCAUAGUGUUGAGGGUCCAUUUCUGGGUUAUCUACUCUCUU